GAUGAACGCUGGCGGCGUGCCUAAUACAUGCAAGUCGAGCGAACGGACGAGAAGCUUGCUUCUCUGAUGUUAGCGGCGGACGGGUGAGUAACACGUGGAUAACCUACCUAUAAGACUGGGAUAACUUCGGGAAACCGUAGCUAAUACCGGAUAAUAUUUUGAACCGCAUGGUUCAAAAGUGAAAGACGGUCUUGCUGUCACUUAUAGAUGGAUCCGCGCUGCAUUAGCUAGUUGGUAAGGUAACGGCUUACCAAGGCAACGAUGCAUAGCCGACCUGAGAGGGUGAUCGGCCACACUGGAACUGAGACACGGUCCAGACUCCUACGGGAGGCAGCAGUAGGGAAUCUUCCGCAAUGGGCGAAAGCCUGACGGAGCAACGCCGCGUGAGUGAUGAAGGUCUUCGGAUCGUAAAACUCUGUUAUUAGGGAAGAACAAAUGUGUAAGUAACUGUGCACAUCUUGACGGUACCUGAUCAGAAAGCCCCGGCUAACUACGUG
rnacentral:rRNA from 1 species